rfam:Mesorhizobium sp. L48C026A00 scaffold0051, whole genome shotgun sequence.
CGAGUCCGGCCCGGGUAAGGGAUAGCGCUCGCUCGGUAGCGACUGUUGCGGCGUGGGAGGUGACGACCACGGCAAAGCGUACAUAGCAAUCGUGUGGGUGGGGAAAUGAGCCAGGAUUGUGGUAAGAUUGCAGGGGCCGAGAUGUUCUCAUCCGUCGAAGGCGACAUGUGCGGAGCCGAUAAGCGAGGAGCCGUCGCCCUGCCGGGGUCUAGGGCCA